CCUAAACCUUGGAACAAAUAUUUUACUAAGUAAAUCAGUGAGCAUGCUGGCAUUUCUAUUAACCUUCAAUGCACUGCUGACAGAAAAUGAAUAAUGAUAAAUAAUAACUCAAGCCUGUAAAUCAUGCUUAGCAUCAGAAGAAAAAAAAUGCUCGUGUGUGCUACCAUCUGUUAGGAGGAGAGCAGGGACUUGAGGAGGGAUGUGGGGGCAGGGAGGGCAGACUGCCUUGGCUGAGGUAAGCACCUUUUGGAUUCAAUAAACUGACCAAGAAAGAAUAAGCCACUUCCAAACAGGAUUGAUGAAGGGAGGAAAAUCCCUUUUCCUCCUGUCUCCCGUUUGAUGGGCAUUUGUUUCCGACUUUUAGCUGCCGCUCUUGGAUGUUUCCUUUUUUCCUUAAGUCCUGCCUCACUGAAUCUGCUUCCAGUCUGUCCACUGGGUUUCUGGGUCAUUUGAAAAGAUGUCCUCUAACUUAGCAAAACCCUCAUGGGGGCAAAACUCUCCUUCCCUCACCUUGGAACAUUUAGUUCGCAUCAUACCAGCGGACAGCUGCCCUGCGCCUGUUGCCCCUCCUUGUAAACAUUUCUGCAGAGUAAGGGCCUAGGCAUGGAUCGGUACACUGUGACUCCAACCAUCCCUCCAGACAGAAAUUAUUUCCAUGUCUAUCAGGUUGUGAGAUACGGAGGUCUCCACUGAAUGGUUCUAUGAAGGGAAACUGUCAGUGUGCUUGGGCGAGGGAAAUUCUAGAUGCUGAUACUUGACAUCUCAGAGCCCUUCUUCCGGGAGUUGGGAACAGACAUUUGCUUUUCUCUCAUCUCCCUGCUCUGCCUUUCCCUGGGGCCAACAUUCACCAAGUGGGCAUAGUCUUCCAAGCAUGCUAGCAAAGAAACAAACACGUGAAUGUUCUGUGGUCCAAUUCCUUGGAAUCAGAAGUCAUCUACAUAAUUGUUUACUGUUUCUGUGAGCACCCCAAAUACCAAGGCAGCUCUGGCCUCAAGUCACUGGAAGUCUGGCUGGAGGCCACACUGACCCUUUCUCUUUUCCAGGUGAUCCCAGGCUCUCCUGACAAUAGCCUGCUCUAAAGGAAGCCUUAGGGCCCUGUAUUUGUUUCUCUGUGAGAAGUGAGGAGCAAUGUCCUUGCAAGGAUACCAGCUCAUGAGGCGGAUCACAGUGUGUGGCUCUGGGGAUUUGUCCAUGCAGGCUACUCAAUGCAAGUUCUACUUCAAUGGUGACUUUCCCUACUGUUCCUCACUUAAAGAACCUCCUGCAGCAUUCAACACAGCAAGACAGAGCAGCUGAGUAAGUGCUUGACCUCUAACUUGGUCCCUCCUUUUCCUGUGGUGUAGGAAGUCUAACGGGUGGUGAAACAGCACCCCAAAUUCCACAGUGCCAGUAGCAGCAUGGUCCAAGGGAGCCUGCUUGCAUUAUUCUGGGUGAGGGGAGUAUGCUAAGGGGAAAUAAAGGAAUAACAGUGUAAUGUACCAGGUCAGCAGACAGCCCAAGUGGAGAGUAGCCACAAGAAUCAGCAUCCUACAUCCAUGGUUGGGGGAGCCCCAGAAAAACUAGGACAUAGUCAUUGCUAUAGACUUGGUUGUGUCCACUGAAACAUAUAUAUUGAAGCCCUAACUCUUGAUAUGACUGUAUUUGGAGAUAGAUAAUUAAGGUUAAGUGAAGUUAUGAGGGUAGGGCCCUGAUCUGCUAGAACUAAUGGCCCUACAGAAGAGUAAGGAAGAUGCCACCCCCUUCUCCCUACACACAUAAGAAAGGCCAUGUGAAGACAAGCUAGGAAAGGAGCCCUCACCAGAACCAGACCAAAUUGGCAUUUUGAACAUAGACUUUCAGCCUGUAAAACUGUGAGAAAAUUAAUUUUCAUUUUUUAGCUAAGCCUGUAUUUUUAUUGGCAGCCUGAACUAAUUAACUCAGCUUUGCUGCUAUUCCAGAAAAGCAGCAUAUUAAAGCAAAACCCAGUCUCUGGAAGAGGGCACCUGAACUCAAGAGAGAGGUAACUGGAAUCAAAAUCCACACUCAGAGCCAGGAUUGUGUUCCCUAAGCAUCAAAUCUGAACUCCUCAGUCACUGCUUGACUUAGAGCAUGAGUGGGCUAAGAGCUAAGGAGGUGGCAGACAAGUGACCCCAAUGGUGGAGUGCACCUGUCUCUGGCAGGGUCCUUCCAUGGAGACAAACAGCACACAGGCCAGGGUGGCCCUGGCUGAUCAGAACCCAUUAGCUGUCUCACAAUGAAUUUGCCUGGUAAGGACCAGGACAGUCACCACCUAGAUAAAUAUAGGCUGUUGGGUCCUUGUCUGACACUAGUCUAGAGAAUCAUGUCAGUGUUAAGUUUAGAAAUUAGAUUACAAACAGCACUGGAUUAUGAGAGAAAAGGAAUAAUGUGCUAUAAAUCAACAUUUAACUCCAGUCCUUCAAGGAAGCGCCAAUUAUGAAGGACAUUAAACAUGAUUUACUUGAAGAAUGCAGUUGGCAAAUUGUGGGUCCUAUUUGAUUUAAGCAUUCCUCACCAAGGCCUUCACUGAUAAUGCAGUCAUAGGACAGAAGAAAAAUGAUGAGACCUUCUACUAGCAGUCCCCUGCUCCAUCCAUAUGUCAAUCAAUAGGAUUAUUCUGUCCAUUCGUAUCCAUCCCUACCCUCACCUUCCACCACCACUUCCAGUAGCUGGAUGUUAAUAAGAUCAAAAGAGGAUGCUUCGUCUACAUGGGGCUGGGAGGGUCCUGUCAGCUCUUACCUCCCCCUAAUUAUCACCGAGACACAGAGGCAGCCAAGUCCUUUGGAUUUUCACAGCCCCUUAAUCCUGCUGGCAUGUGACUUUUUUGCCCCUACAUCUGAUUUUAAUGUUCAUUGUAAGGUCAGGAGAGCAUAGGGAAGAAACCAAUGAGCUCCUACUCUGUGCCAGCCAGUGUGUUGAUUAUUUUAUACCAUGCUAUAGUGUUUAACUUCCCCAUACAUCCUACUAUGCCUUAUCAGGCACAAUCUAGAGAUGAGGAAACUGUGGCUUGAGGGUGUGGCACUUGCUGUAACAUAUGUAGUUGAUAAAUAGGCAACAUGGGAUAUGAACCCAAUGCUCUCUGGUUCCCAAACUAAUGUUAUUUAUUUUUAAAUGAAUUGAAUUCCAGAAACAAGAUGGCAGGUGAUAAAUAUUGCAGAAUGGGCCAUAACAAUACCUCUCAUAUGGCCAUGAUUGCUAAGUUCAGUGGGGUCACUUAUAAUCAUCACAGAAAUCUUGGCCAAGAUUUGCCUUUCUUAUAAUUAACAGAAUCUUUUCCAUAUCUGGAAGAAGUCCUUCCAUAUCUGAUUUUUUUCUAACAUCUAACUGGUAGACUGAUCUGAGUGGCACAAAGUUUGAGUUCUCCAUUCUGAAGAAGGAUAAAUAAGAGAAAGAGUAGUCAAACUUUUCAUCCUUAUGACUGAUCCUAGGAGGAUUAAGAAAGAGAUGCAAAAGAUUGGAAAACAGCUGUCCAGACCCUGGGGACAUGGUGGGCAGGGACCAUAAUGAGUCAGAGUGUUCUGUCCACUCCAGAUGGCUCCUCUAUAUGUAAGAUUUUAGAAGCUCUUGAGUCAGAUCAUGAUAGGUGGGAAUCCUGUCUCUUCUCUCACUGACUGGAUAACUUUGGCAAGUUCCUCCACUGUUGUAUGCCUCGGUUUUCUUGCCUUUAAAAUGGGGAUAAUAACAGUAGUGUUGUUACGAGGAUUAAUGAAUUAAUAGAUGAACUCAGUCAGCACAAAACUGAAACAUAAUUAGCCCUCAAGCAUUGCUAGUUCUUGUUGAUUAUUACUGUGGUUCUUUGUUAAAAAUCACUUAUUUCAAUGUUUCUCUGUUUGGUGGGAGGUAACGAAAUGAUGAGUCAGAAAGGGAUGAGCUCUUUUGGUGUUAGAAGGACUUUGAGAGUCUCAGAUUAUUUUGGAAUAUGUGAUGGGAAAGGUGGUGAGGAAGCAUCCCAUUUACGUGUUUCUUUCAUCUUUCUUCUUUCUUUCUUUCUUUCUUUCUUUCUUUGUGCACAUCCAUGAUAUUGGAGAUAAAUCAGUGUUAUGGGAUGCUGAACCUCAUCCUUUUGGUCAUAAGAUAACUGAGGCACAAGGCUGAGAAGGACCUUCUUGGGAUUACACAGCCAGUGAGAGACAAAGUAAGACUAGAACUCAGCCUUCUGGCUCUCUUUUCCCCAAGGCUCUGCAAAGUGGGCCAACCCUCAGGACACAGCUCUGGGUAACAGAAAUGUGAGGAGAGAACUUUCUGAUUGCCCAGAUCUGAGAACACCAAGAUGCUCAAAGUGCCUCCUGUUCUCAGCUCCCACUACAGCAAAAUCCUUGCUUCCAUUUGUGGUGAGUGUUUUCCCAUAAACUUGUCAUCUCUUGUUUCUGGAGGGCAGGCAGAUUCAGAGGUGGCUGAGAGCUUAGGUCUGGAUUCAAGUCCCAUAUUCUAAUUCUGAGACCUCUGGUAAGUUAUUAAACUGUUCCUAGUCUUGGUUUUUUCAUCUGUAAAAUGGGGAUAAUCAUAGUUAUGUGUUGAUAGGAAUUGAAUUAGAGGAAGUGGGAAGAGUAUUGGCUUAUAAUAAGUGCACAAAACCCGACAGCGUUUAGUUGUAAGGUGCUUGCAUAUUAGAGACAGAGAUGGCAGCUGGCAGGAUUCAGAGCUAGAACACCAUAUUUUAAGAUGCCCCUCUCUUUCUUCAUUCCUAUUUCCUGCAUUUAGUGUUCCACAUUUUUUCAAAUCAUGUUGAGUUCAGAGACAGAUAUUCAGUAGUAUCUUUCAUUUCAUACACAUUUAUUGGUCACCUGCUCUCAUUGUGAAGCUGAAGAUGGCAUAUAUAUGCCUCCAGCCCUGUGUCCUUUGCCAAACUGGCUUUGCUGGUUUGAGGGUCAUUCACUGAUUCUGUUUUCUCAAGGGUUUGGUGUGACAUUUGUCAGUUGUAUGGAUGUACUGCCUUUAGGAAGGGGAAGAUCUAACCCCUACUGACCUUUUAGGGAGUAUUUGUUUAUCCUCUUUAGAUAUGUAGACCUUUUGCUUACAGCAAGAGUGAGGAGGGUGUACUUUUCUAUGGAAAAAAGAGGAAACCUUCCAGUUGCUGACACUGUACUUCCAUGGUGACAACCCUGUUCCUUCCAUAGGUCAGGACUUAACCCCAUAAAAGUCAGUCCCAUUCUCCAGACCUGGCUUGAGGCCUCCAUUUGCAGAGGAGCUCAGGUGAACAUGGCAGCCCUCAUCAAAAUAGUAAAGAAUCACCAAGUGGAAGAUAUCCCCAACCCAGAAAAUAAACCCAUUCUAAAUAAUAGCGAGUUUUACACCAUAAUUUUGCAUUUCCACAGGACUAACAGGAGCUCCAUGAGCACAAGAAUCAUUCAUGUCUGGAUUCCAUUUAUUUCCAUAGUACCUAGCAUCAUGCCAUGUAUAGCAGACAUUCAGUAAAUAUUUGUUGAGUGAAUGAUUCUCAAUAUCUAGAGGGGAUCUUCCAAAAAUAAAGGGCUUAUAUGCUGGGCACUGCACUAUAUACCUUGCAUAAAUUAACUCUGAUGCCAAAGUUUCUUCAUCUGUGAAAUGGACAUAAUUACGAAUAAAUUUGUGGUCACAUGGUAUGAGUUAAGUAACUUAUCCCAAGUCACAUAUCUAACAAAUGGUGAAGUCCAAGUUUGACACAGGCAGUUUGGGUGCUGAAUUUUGGGUAUAAGAUAACAAGGCUAUAGAGACAUCUAAUAGGCCAACUGUCUACUGGUGCUCACACCUCCCAUUGUCACACAAUGUGACAGGUACAGUAACAUCAAGAUGAUAAAUUUUGGUAGCUUGAUGAAGAGGAAAUGCACACCAAACUGCAAGCUUGGGGUGGGAGUGAGCCCUGGCCUCUCCCAUGUAGCAGUCCUAUGGAAAGUUCUGGAUUCAAAGCACUCUAGCACUCUGCUUUUUUUUCCAACCACAUCUUCAUUAGUCCUGUUGCUAAUAAGAGUCAUAAGCCAAUUGUGAGCUCCCUGAAGACAGGGACUAAAUCUUUCCCAUUCAUACUUGAUCUUCAUUGCCUAGCACAAUGCCUGAAAAUAGCAGGUGCUAAAAAAAUUAUGUUGAAUAAAUGAAGAUAUGACUAUGGGAUGAGUGGAGAUUGUUAUCAUUAUUAUUUUAAUGAAAGAGCGUUGAGUGUAACUGUUCAAGAUAUGGGUAAAAAAAGUUAAUGUGGUUUUCUUUUUCAAGUUUUGAAUUAAAUUUUAGAUCUCAGCUUCCAGAAAAGACAAGAGUCAUUAUCUUUAAAGUUCAUGUUGUGCAGUAUGACUUUUGUCUGGAAAAUUUCAGUACAUAUUUUGGAGGAUGCCAGCUGGGGAAGAGGAUUAUUUUUUCCUAAUAAAACUAUACAGACCACUUCAAUUAUCCCUGGGCAAAGGGACUUUGGCUCUCUUCCUUCCUCCAGGCCUCUGCUCAACUCUGACUGCCUUGUGAAAAACCAUGGGAAGCAACAGGAUGUGUCUGCUUCUUUCCCUCCUCUAAUAAACUUUGUCAUUUACUGAAAACUGAGAGGCCACCCUCCUUCUUGUAUUAUUAAUGCUCUGGCAGCCUCUUCAAACUGAGCCACCAAAGAGGACUGAAACUAUACUGCCUUCCCAACCCUGGGCUCUCCCACACACAGCACACAUGCAAUGAGGGACACACAAUGCACACAUGUGCAGGUACUCACGACCGCACACAAGUACACACACCCAUCUGUUCCCUGCUUGUGUUGAUCUGGGCCAAUGUGCUUAUGAGAUGGAGGUGGGUUUCUCCCUUUUUGCCUCUUAGAGGGCCUUUGAGGUGCUCUAUUUGCAUUCUGCAGCUAGCUGAGAUCAAAGGUACCCCUCCUCUUCUUUGGGGUAUCUAGUGAAAUACAGAAAACAUCAGAGCCAGCAGCCUUGGCUGAGGGAACGUCCUGCCUAAAGAACAGGAAGAUAUGGCUAGUGCGUCUCCUUUCUGCAGCAUGGGUAGCAGCCUCGGCAUGCUGUGAGCAAGAUGAUCCACAAGCACAGGCAACUUCAAUAGGCUCUCAGUUCAGCCAAAUGUGCCUGGUACACAGUAGGUGUUUAGUAAAUAUGGAUAACUGGAUGGUUAUUCUGCAUGUAUUCCUGUUUUCAUCUCAAGGACCAACAACACCUUGUCACUGCCUUUAUAGGCAAUCACUCACUAUCUUGAACCCCAUGGGAUUUUAAGCACUCUGCUUGUUUUACAGGAAUGGACAUAUUGAAUUGCAAUUACUUGCUUACAUAUUAUUCAUAUUAUUACAUACCAGAGAUUGAACUCAGGACCUUGUGCUUGAAAGGCAGGCUUUGCACUACAGAGCUAAAUCCUCUGCCCUUCUGUUUUACUUUUAAGAAGGUUUUUAUAAGGCAGAAACAUGAUUAGUCAUUUAUGUGUCCCCCAUAUUGUGGUUUAGAUCUAGACUGUUCCACAAAAGUCCUGUGUGUUCAGAAGUGGGCUUUUGGAAGGGAGACGCUAUAUUCCUCAGCUGUUCAUACCUGACUUGCUUAGGAGGUAGGUCCCUGUUGGAGGUGAGUUACUAGGGACAUGACCUGGAAGGGUAUAUGUCCCUCUUUGUUUCACCAUACCCUUUCUGCCUUGGAACCAGCUGACUAUGGGCUGAAAGCUCUAAAAACUAUAAGCCAAAAUAAACCUCUCCUCUUUUAAAUUGUGAGUGUUGAGUAUUUUCUCUCAGCAACAGGGAAGUGACUAACACAUUGUCUUAGUUACUUUUCUCCUGUUUUUGAGACAAAAUAGCCAACACCCAAAACUAAAGAAGAAAAGGUUUAUUUGGCUCCCAGUUUGUAGAGAUUUCAUUUCAUAGUUGGCUGGCUCCAAGGCAGGAUGGCAUCCCAAAGAGGCAUUGCAGAGGAGAAACAGUUCAUGGCAAACAGAAAGCAGAAGGCAGCAAGCAGCAAGCAACAAGAGACAAGCAGGCAUCCUCUUUCUGUCCCUUAUAUUUUAUCUAGGCUACUCACCCUUAGGGCAGGUAGCACUCACACCCAGGGAGGAACAGCCUUAAUUCUAGCAUCUCACCAUGAUUCAAUCCCCAGCAUCACAUCCUUGAUCCCAGCAUCACACACCCUAGAUCGAGCUAGCUCUGAAAAGCUCCACUGAUGACUGCAUGAGGCUUUGAGGGGACAUCUAGACACAAGCAGGAACAGACAUUCAUAUCUACUAAUUACUAAAGUGCAUAGAAUGAUGAUACUACCAGUCAUCCAUAGUUCAGUGGUUAAAAAGCUGCUUCUGGAGCUAGACUGCUAUGGUGUAAAUCCAAGCUCUGACAUUUGCUAGCCAUGUAGACUUGUGGUCAAUUUAUGUAAACUUUGCAUCUUCAUUUUCAUUUUCUUUUAAAAUAGAGGCAUUAAUGUUACCUAUCUCAUAGCUGGUGUGGCAGGGGUUAAUGAAUUAAUUCAUGUAAAGCAGUUGGAACUCAGUGCAAAUUAAGCAUUCAACGAAUACCCAUUUUUAUUUUUUUAUUUAUACCCAUUCUUAUGUUUGACAUUUGUUUUCAAUUUUUAAAGAAAAUGCUAGUUUUUUAUCCCAGUGACUCUGUAGUACUCACAUUAUCUUUCAUCAGUAACAACCCUUGAUUUUUAUUGGGGACUUAUCUUACCCUAAAUCUUAGUCCCUGUGGCUUUCUCAGAGUUAUGUACCAUCCAUCCCUGUUGCCAAAGGCUUGGGAAUCAUUGAAUGUUGUGAAUUUCCCUGGUGCCAUGAUUGGGGCAGAAAUGGAUACUUGACCUUCCCACAUCCAGGAAAGUUGUAUGAAGCUUUUGUUAGGAUUCCAGGGACAGAAAUGGUUGCCUUUACUUAUUGGAUUGAAUAUGGAAAGAUUUGAGUCACUCCUCUUGUCUCACCUCCAAAAUUGUGGAGAUAUCAGACAAGAACAUCAACAUGGAGGACCUUAAAUGACAUGAGAGUCCUCAAUCAAUCCAUAUCAGGAGCCAGCAACACAUCUGGGCUCUUCCUUUUGGGCCUUGUUCCAGUGAUAGCAGCUGCAUAAAAAUUACUCCUAAAUUUAAUGGCUUACAAAAGGCCACAUGUAGUUUGCUCUUGAAUUUACAAUUUGGGCAGAGUUCAGCAGGUAUAGCUUGUGCUUCUUCCAGUAGGGGUCCAAGAUGGUGGCCCAAGGGAUAGACCAUGGGGUCAUCUGAAGGCAUUCUGGCUGAUGUUAGUAAUCAGCUGGGGAGAUUCAGUUCUUGUCCGCAUGGAACUCUUCAUUUGCUCUUUCCUCAUGGGCUUCUCUGGGUUUCCUCACAUCUUGGUGAUAGGUUUUUCCCCCAAAAUCAUUUUACCCCACUCCCAAUAUAAGAGGGUCCCAGGCAGAGCUGUACCUGUUUUAUGACCCAGAUUUAUAUAGCACUGUUUCUGCAAGCCUCAUUAGUUGGAGCACUUUCAGAUGAGUUCAAGUCCAAGAGAAUGAGGAGAGCAAUGUUCCAGAAAAGGUCAUGGGACUAGAAAUAUGAACAAAAUAAGUGCUUGUCACCAAAAGAAGUGCCUGUUCCCAAUUCAUUGUAAUUGUAAAAUGCAAUGUGCCACUAGGCCUUUUUGAUAAAGGUAGUAUUAAGUAAAAGAUUCUAUCAUUCUUCACAGAAAAAAAUCC
rnacentral:lncRNA from 1 species